rnacentral:pre_miRNA from 12 species
CCGCCCGGGGCCUCAGGCCGGCGCCCGGGCUCUGGCUCCGUGUCUUCACUCCCGUGUGUCCGAGGAGGGAGGGAGGGACGGGGGCUGUGCUGGGGCAGCCGGAACAGCGCAGGCCUCCGG